rnacentral:rRNA from 13 species
AGGUACGAUCAUACCCGGGUUACUACGCCGGAUCCCAUCCGAACUCCGCAGCUAAGUCCCCGUGGGCUCGAAUAGUACUGGCUAGGGUGACCCGCCGGGAAGUCCGAGUGUCGUACCUU